rnacentral:ncRNA from 2 species
ACGCCGAAGCGGGGGUACCGCACUGGCGGUUGAGACACACCCUUCGAACCUGAUGCGGUUGAGACCGCCGUAGGGAAGCUUCGCCGGAUGCGCA